GAUGAAGAACGCAGCGAAUUGCGAUACUUGGUGUGAAUUGCAGAAUCCCGUGAACCAUCGAGUCUUUGAACGCAAGUUGCGCCCGAAGCCAUUAGGCCGAGGGCACGCCUGCCUGGGCGUCACACGUCGUUGCCCCCCCAUCUACUCCUUCGGGAUUGCGGGGGGCGGAUGAUGGCCUCCCGUGCGCCUCGCCGCGCGGUUGGCAUAAAUGCCAAGUCCUCGGCGACGCACGCCACGACAAUCGGUGGUUGCGAAACCUCGGUUGCCCGUCGUGUGCGGUCGUCGCGCAUCGAGGGCUCGAAAAAAUUGCCGGGUUCCGGCUCGGCUUUCAACGCGACCCCAGGUCAGGCGGGGUUACCCGCUGAAUUUAAGCAUAUCAAUAAGCGGAGGA
rnacentral:misc_RNA from 1 species